rnacentral:tRNA from 1 species
GGGGUUCGAAUCCCUCCUCGCCCACAACCGGCCAAAAGGGGAAGGACCCUUCCCUCUGGGGGUAGGAAAAUCAUG